rnacentral:tRNA from 1 species
GCACCGUUAGCUCAGUUGGUAGAGCAACUGACUCUUAAUCAGUGGGUCCAGAGUUCGAGCCUCUGACGGUGUA